AAUCAACAAGCCCUGUUGCUUCAGCAACUUAUACAGCUGUCUGGACAAGGUCAAAGGCAACCAUUUAUCCAGGUUAACACAAACAGCUCUAACAGCAGUAGCAGAACCACCCAACAAGCUGAAAAAGCUCAAAUUUACUCGUACAAAGUUAAAAUAAUAAAUCCUCUCAAAAAGAGUGAUGUUAUCACCUGUGAGUUACAUCAUUUUAACAGCAAGUUUGAAUCGGUUCUCUCUCUAAGAAUGAAGUUAAUUGAACAUUUAAAAGAACACGUUCCUAGUACUGUUGAUUUUAAUAUUAUGAAGGUCAACAACAUACCAAAGUAUUGGUUGUCACUCCUGAUGACCUCACGUUGAUGUACACCAAGUUUUCAGGAGGACACCUCACUCUAUGGUGUGAUGGAAAGUUAGAUGAAGCAGGAAAGAAGCGAAAAAGGGAUGAUGUGGAUCCAAAAACAAAGCGGCAAGAGAAAGAGGAAGAUGUUGACUCUAUUUUCAAAGAUCUCAAACGUAGGCAUGACAGCAAAUUUGACACACCCAAACUUCGCCUAUGGGCAAGGAUGAUAUGCUCCAAACUGCAUGAUGAUUAUGAUAAGCCUCCAGAUAUCCCUGCUUUUUCUGGUGUUGUGCCAAAAAGGCCUAGGAGAGAGAGCCUCGGUGAUGCUCUUUCAGAUGUAGCUGUAGCCUCGAUCCCAGGCCGAGUUUUCGCUUUUAUAACGGUUAGGCGAACAACUGGGCCUGGUACUAGUUGUCUGCGCAUGCGUCAGUCGUUCGUCAGAUUCUGACGAAUGGAUAUUCUCGUUCACUUUCGUGACAUUUAUAUUUGUGUACUAUCGUGUACUAGAAGUCAGUUCCCGUUUUAUCAUUAUUGGAAUCGAUUGGAAUCGAUUGGAAUGGCUCUUAGCUGAAGCUUCUCUCUUCUCUGAAGCUUAUUCUGAAGACUGAACAACAAGGGAAGAGGUAUAAAGCUUUGUCAAGCUUGUUAAGGUCAGAUAUUUUUGUGUGGGCCCUAUGGCCGGCUAUGCUAUCAAGUCUUGUUCAUGUUUGGCAAGAAUGUAGGUAGACUAUAGUUUCAUCAUUAAUAUGGUGGAUCAAGUGAAGAGUGUGAGCUAGAGAACUUGGUGCUGCCAUCAUCAGCUCGUCGACAAUGACACUAUAAUCGAGAAAUUUCUACACAUAUUUAAAAUGUCUACUUCUCUGUACAGGAGCAAUGGCUAAUAUCCAGCUGUCCCAACAGUGCUCCUCUUGGCUAUACUAACGGACGAGACUGGACAGUUUGAGACACAGGACUGGAGUAUGACCUGCUCAUUCGAGCGUUGCUGGGUAGCUCAGAGACAUCAAGAGAAUCUACGUUUUCUCAAGCAAUGAGUUACGAGUUGGGGCCUAGAAUCAGAGAAGUCCAGCAGCCUGCUAAAUCUUUUUGAAACGUAAUUUGAAGGCAUUCAAUCAUCCUGAAGUUGCCCUGGGUCACUGUAAUUGUGCUGCAGCACAACUGGCAACUCCCCAGGCCUUUGUGAAGCAGCUCCCUAUGUGCAUCUUUUGUGUACUCACUCUGUGCAUUUUCUGUGUACAAAUUUCUAUUAUUGAUUUAUUAAAUA